UGCCACAACCAUAUCGACCUGCAGCCCAGGAUCGGUGUCUAGCUGAAGCUAAGCAGGUUGAGCCUGGCCAGUACCUGGAUGGGAGACCACAUGGGAAAACUAGGUUGCUGUUGGAA
ensembl:rRNA 5S_rRNA 5S ribosomal RNA